UGUCUAGAUGAUGCUAGUUGUAGUUUGUAAUCUUUUAGGUAUGAAGGCAUUUUUCUAGUUCUUUUUGAUGUUCUGUUAGUGCCCUCAUUGUCUGCUGGUGUUGGUGUUUCAGCUAUUUCUUCCUCUUCUUCUAACUCAUAUUGUUCAGUGAGUUCCAUUGAAGGAGGAAUGUGGGAAAUUUGAGGAAUUAUCUCCUCAUCUUCCUCUGACUCAUAUUGGUCAUGUGAGGGAGUUAUGUAUGUGUUUGUUUCUUCUAAUGGUUCUUUGUUGAAGAAGUCUUCCUCAUGUUGUUUGGGUUUUUCUUGAAAUGGGAAGAUUUCUUCAUGGAAAGUAACAUCCCUGUUUGUGAAGAUUUCUUGGUUUGAUAGGUUGAGUAUCUUAUAACCCUUUCUUUGGAAAGAGUAUCCUAGAAAAAUUCCCUUAAUGGCUCUGUUUUCGAAUUUUGUCUUUGUUUUGUUGUUUGUAGCAUAGCAAAGACAUCCGAACACUCUUAGGAUAGAGAGGUUUGGUUGCUCAUUAAACAGUCUGUAGUAAGGGGUGUCAUUGUCUAAGACAACAGCUGAGGUUCUAUUUAUUAGGAAUACAGCUGUUAGGAUGCAUUCCCCCCAAUAUGUAAGGGGGAUGUUGGAUUGGAUCAUAAGUGACCUGGCCACUUGUAGUAUAUGCUGGUGUUUUCUUUCUACUCUCCCAUUUUGUUGAGGAGUGUAAGGACAUGAUAGUUGGUGUGCUAUUCCAUUUGUUUUUAUGAUAUUUUGGAAUUCUUUAGACAGGAAUUCUGUUCCAUUGUCUGUUCUUAUGGUUUGGAUCGUUGUUUGGUGUUGAUUUUUAACAUCCAAGAUGAACUGUUUGAAUUUUCCUAAUGUUUCAGCUUUGUUUGUCAUCAGGAAGGCCCAGGUAGCCCUUGAAUAGUCAUCUACUAUGGUCAGAAAGUAGUUGUUUCCUUGAUGUGUGGGUGUAUGAAACUUGCCCCAAAUAUCUAGAUGAAUAAGCUGAAAACAUUUUGUAGUUUUACUUGUGCUAGAAUUAAAAGAUAACCUUGUUUGUUUUGACAAAGGGCAUGUAUUACAAAAUUUUGAAAAAUUUUUAGGAAUACAAUUGUUCAAUAAAUGUAGAUGAUAAAAUCUAGAAGGUGCAGGGUGUCCUAGCCUUCUGUGCCAGAUUUUUUCAUCUUUAGAUUCCCUUUGUUGGAUGUGAUUGGCCUGGGGUGAUUCUAGCUUUAAUAUGUAUAGACCAUCUUUCUUCUCACCACCACCAAUCUGGUUUCCCUGCUGGUCCUGUAUGGAACAGAAAGUAGGGUGGAAGGUGAAUAAGCAAUUUAUAUCUUUUGUUAACUUGCUUACAGAUAGAAGGUUUACUGAGAAGGAUGGUAUUUUAAGGACAUUGUGUAAAACAAUGUCUUUUGACAGGGUUGUGGAGCCACUUGAUGAUACUCUUGUGGUUUGUGAGUUUGGAAGGUGUAUGUUAAUUGGGUACAGGAGUGUUUUUAUGUUCUGUAGUUUGGUGUUGGGGGAACACAUGUGAUCUGUUGCCCCUGUGUCAAUGAUCCAUUGAUCAUUUUUUGUUUCAGUGUGUGGUUUUGUGUGUGUGUUUAAGGAGUAAUGAAAACAAGUAUUAUUUUUAUAAUGUGACUUACCAGAUGAGCUUCCAGAAGCCAUGUGAGCUUGACUCUGUUUCCCUUUGGAGAAUCCUCCCAGUAUGUCUAUUAGCUCUUCUCUGGUGAUGAACUUGUUUUCAGUUUUAUCUUCAUUGGGUUUUGGUUCAUCUUCUUCUUGUUGUGUGCUAGCAUUGUUGCUUUGGUAUUUGCCUUUCUGUCCUUUGUUGGGCCUGCCAUUGUAGUUUUUCUUUUCAACAAAUUUUGUGUCCUUCUUUUUGUUGAAAUCUACCCCAUGGAGCCCAUGUCCUGCUGGAAAUCCAUGCUCAUAGAAGCAUGUUUCCAGAGUGUGGUUGUGUUUCUUGCAUCUUGUGCAGUAGGGUUUGGAAUCUUCACUCUGAAUAUGUGUCUUUACCUGAGGAUUUUUAGAUUGUGCUACCAUGGCAUUGCCUUCCUCAGGGUAUACACAUUCCCUUUGAGUUUCUUCUUGUAGAACCAUGCUAAAAGCAUCUUCUACUGAAGGUGGGGUUUUCUUCUUCAAAAUCUGUCCUCUGAUGGUCAUGAAGGAGUCAUUCAGACCAGUUGUGAAGGUGAUUAAUCUCUCCAGAUUUUCCUUUGCUAUGCAGUUAGCAUUGCCACAGCAUUCAAAGAUCUGAUUGUUGUCUAGUUCAUUCCAGAGUCCCUGUAGUUUGGCAUAGUAAUUGCUUACAGAUUCAUUGCCUUGAGUGCAUAGUGCAAUCUGCCUUUUGAGUUGAGAAAUAACCAGGGAGUUUGCUCUGCUGUAUUUCUGUUUGAGAUUUUGCCACAAGAUGUUGGCAUCUUUUAUGAAGAUUGUGCUGCUUUUGAUUUCCUUGGAGCAGCUGUUUAGUAUCCAUGCUGUGACUAGAUCAUUGCAUCUGACCCAGGGUAUGAAGUAGUUAUCUGUGUUUUCUGCUGGUUUUGUAAUGGUUCCAUUUAUGAAACCCAGUUUGUUUUUGUGGAUAGAGAUCUUUGAAUUUCAACCACCCAUGUCUGAUAGUUUGAUCCACUGAGUGGAGUUACUACCAGGCUUGUGUUGGGAUUAUCACUCCCUGAAAUAUAGUAUGGAUUUCCAUCUUUGAUUUUAAACUCAUCAUUCUUUGUUGUCAUUUUCAGAUAAAAAUGAGAGGAGGGAAAGAAGGCUGAUGAGAAGGCACACCAGGAAUCUCAGGAGAAUGAGAGAGCUCAGAAGGCAAAAUAUGAAUGUGGAGGCCUUGGAGUAUUUUGGUGAUGUGGAAGAUGUGUACUCUUCCUCUGACUCUGAGUAUGAGAGACCUGUUCCUGUGUGGGAUAUUGAAUUUCCCUCAGAUAGUGAUGGCGAAGAUGGUGUGGUGUGUCAGGAAUACUACUAUGAUUAUGAUAGUGAUGAUUCUAUGCCUGACUAUGAGAUAUGGAGUGAUCCAGAUGUGGGCCUGAAUUCUGAGGGGGAGAAGGAAAAUGGUGUUCUAGCAGUAGAGAUUCCACUACCUCCUCGUCCUCCACAAGAAUUCUUUGACAAUAUCUGGAGAAACAGGAUUGUUUUUGAUGAUUCACAAUGCUGCUGUGUUGAAACAGAAGUGAUAGAGUUUUGUGUUUUUGAAACAGUUUGUAAUGCUGUUUCCUUUUUUUUGUGGAAAGAAUUGAUAGUAGAAAGAAAAAAUGAUUUUAGAAUAGAGAAAGAAAAAAUAUUUUGAUUAGGAUUGAACCUUCUCUGAUACCAUGAUAGAAGUUAUAUUUGAAAUAUAUGCAAAUAUAAAUAUGAAAUAUGGUUUAAGAAUUGAAUUAUCGAUGUAUGUAUGAUGAUAUGAUAAUGAACUGUAAAUUGAUACUGUAGGAUGAUCGAUUGAUGAAGCGAUGAUCCACAGCUUGUUGAAGUGAGUUGAAUGUGAUUGAACUUGAAUCUGUGAUUCAAGUUGAUGUAUUGCAGUUCCNNNNNNNNNNNNNNNNNNNNNNNNNNNNNNNNNNNNNNNNNNNNNNNNNNNNNNNNNNNNNNNNNNNNNNNNNNNNNNNNNNNNNNNNNNNNNNNNNNNNUUGCAGAAUUGAUCAGACAGAGUAACCCAAAGUCUGUAAUUGUAAUACAGAGUGUGUGGAUGUGUGUGUGUGAUCGUGUGUUGUCUUAAACUAGGAUUAGGUAUGUUUAUAUAGAAGAACACCCAACGGCUAUGUUGGUUGGGUGUAUUUAAUUAUGGUAAUUAAUAUAUAUAGGAAUGUGUAAUAUGGAUUUGGGAAUUAAUAUAAGAUUGAAUAUUUGAUUGAUAUUUGAAUGUGAAAAGAUGUAAUGAGAAUGUGAAGAGUUGUGAUGAAAUAAGAGGGUGUUAAUGAUAAUUUUAUUAUAAUGUUAUAUGUGUAAUUUAUUUUAAGGUAGGGGUAUAUCUCUAAUAUCCUCCCUCAAAUCAAAACCGGUCAGGGUUUGAUUUGAAUAUGUGGGUGCAUUGGGGUGUUGAAGUGAAUUAAUUGGGUUUGAAUUCUUGGUGUGUAUAUCAAUUAGGUUUAGUUUUUGGAUUAAAUUUUUAAAUGCUGGACCACCCAAGGGUUUAGUGAAAAAAUCACCAAUGUUUUGUGUGCUAGAGACGUGUCUUAGUGUAAUAUCUCCCGCUAAAACCUUGUCCCUCACCGUGUGAAGAUCGAUCUCUAUAUGCUUUGUUCGUUGGUGUGAUAUAGGGUUUCGUGCAAUCGCCUCUGCUGCCGUGCUGUCGGUGAAGAUACGUGGAGCCGGUGAUCGUCGUAUCUGGUAAACUCCUAUCUCAUGUAGUAGCAUUGUUAACCAAGUUAUUUCACAUGUAGUGUAGGCCAAUGCUCUGUACUCAGCCUCAGCCGAUGAUCUUGAUAUUGUUUGUUGCUUUUUUGAUUUCCAAGAUACUAGGGAAGUACCAAGGAAGAUGGCAAACCCCGAUGUUGAUCGUCUGGUGGUUGGGCAACUUGCCCAAUCUGAGUCAGAAAAUGCAGAAAUGUGGUCCAUUGAGGAUCCUGUAAAAUGCAACCCCACACCAGGUGAUCCUUUUAUGUAUUUUAAUACUCUGUAGGCAGCUUUCAUGUGAAUGUCUGUGGGUGUUGCCAUGUGCUGGCUUAGAUAAGUCACAGCAUAUGAUAUGUCUGGUCUUGUGCAAGUUAAAUAAACUAACUUGCCAAUUAUACUUCUAUAUUGCUGUGGGUCCUCUAAUGGGGUUCCACAUGUCUCUGUUUUAUGUGACUGCAUUGGUGUUUUAUUGAUGUGGUUAUUUGGUUGCAUUAAUGUGUUAUUAAGUUUUUCUGUUUUAUAAUUGGAUAUUUGUUUUUGGCUAUUUGGAGUGUUGUUUGGUUUGCAUUGAGUUAGAUCAUAUUUUUCCAAUAGAUCUAAGGUGUAUUUUCUUUGCCCGAUGUAUAGGCCAUUUGGUGUUUUUGUGAAUUCAAGGCCUAGGAAAUAUUUAAGUUCUCCUAGGUCUUUUAUUUUGAAAGUUUCACUUAAGUUUCCUUUUAAGGUAUUAAUUUUAUCUAUGUUAUUUCCUGUUAUUAACAGGUCAUCAACAUAGGCUAAUACUAUUGUAGUAUCUUUAUCAUCAAUGUUUAUGAACAGUGAAUAAUCUGUCUUGCAUUGUUUGUAUCCAAAAUUGGAUAGAGCCUUUGACAGAGUUUGAUACCACACUCUGGAGGCUUGUUUUAGGCCAUAUAGUGACCUAUUCAGUCUGCAGACUGAAUUUGGUGGUGAGUCUUUUGGUAUGUCUAGACCCAGGGGAAUCUUCAUGUAUAUAGUUUCUUCUAGAGUUCCAUGUAGAAAAGCAUUUUGUACAUCCAUUUGAUGCAUGUGCCAUUUCUUGGAUACUCCUAUUGCUAAAAUGACUCUGAGUGUUGUCAUUUUUGAGACAGGGGCAAAGGUUUCUGUGAAAUCUAUCCCCUCAAUUUGGUUGUAUCCUUUUGCAACCAAUCUUGCUUUAUGUUUUUCAACAGUUCCAUCACUGUUGAAUUUGGUCUUGUAAACCCAUUUGCAGCCAAUUGGUUUCUUUCCUUGAGGAAUGCUAGUGAUUGUCCAUGUUUUGUUGUUUUCAAGAGCCUCAAGUUCUUGUUUCAUAGCAUUGUUCCAUUUGGCAUGUUUGGAGGCUUCUUUGUAUGAGCUUGGAUCAUUGUUGCUUUCUAUUGUUGUGAUGAAAGCAUAGUAUUCUGGGGUGAAAUUUUGUUGUGAGAUUUCUUUCCCUAUUGGGUGUCUAGAUGAUGCUAGUUGUAGUUUGUAAUCUUUUAGGUAUGAAGGCAUUUUUCUAGUUCUUUUUGAUGUUCUGUUAGUGCCCUCAUUGUCUGCUGGUGUUGGUGUUUCAGCUAUUUCUUCCUCUUCUUCUGACUCAUAUUGUUCAGUGAGUUCCAUUGAAGGAGGAAUGUGAGAAAUUUGAGGAAUUAUCUCCUCAUCUUCCUCUGACUCAUAUUGGUCAUGUGAGGGAGUUAUGUAUGUGUUUGUUUCUUCUAGUGGUUCUUUGUUGAAGAAGUCUUCC
rnacentral:lncRNA from 1 species